rnacentral:rRNA from 1 species
UGCGUAGGCGGUUUAGAAGGUCUUACCCGAAAGCUCCUGGCUAAACCAGGAGAGGAGGUAAGAAACCGACGAACUAGAGUCUCGGAGAGGUGAGCAGAAUUCCCGGAGGAGCGGUGAAAUGCGUAGAUAUCGGGAGGAAUACCAGAAGAGGAGUCGGCUUACUGGACGAGGACUGACGCUGAGGCACGAAAGCUUGGGGAGCGAACAGGAUUAGAUACCCUGGUAGUCCAAGCUGUAAACGAUGACCACUAGGUGUGUGGGGUAUCGACCCCUCACGUGCCGAAGGGACCCGAUAAGUGGUCCGCCUGGGGAGUACGGUCGCAAGAUUAAA